rnacentral:misc_RNA from 1 species
GGUUUUAACCCAGYUACUCAA